UUUCUAUAGGUGAACCUGCGGAAGGAUCAUUGUCGUGACCCUGACCAAAACAGACCAUGCACGCGUCAUCCAAUCCACCGGCGAUGGCAACGUCCGUCGCACAGCCAAGUCCUCGACCGUCUCCCCUCCUCGGAGUGGGGGCUCGGGGUAAAAGAACCCACGGCGCCGAAGCCGUCAAGGAACACUGUGCCUAACCCAGGGGCAUGGCUAGCUUGCUAGUCGUCCCCUGUGUUGCAAAGCCAUUUAAUCCACACGACUCUCGGCAACGGAUAUCUCGGCUCUC
rnacentral:misc_RNA from 1 species